rnacentral:misc_RNA from 1 species
CAGCCUAUUGUAAGCAAGGAGGGCCCUCGAUUUUUUGAGAGUGAGUUUUGGGAGUUCUUGACUCGUACAGUCUGGUGGGCAAUUCCAGUUAUUUGGCUGCCAGUUGUAUGCUGGUGCAUCUCAAAGUCUGUACGAAUGGGCCACACACCUUCUGAGAUAGCCUUAAUGGUGGGUUUUGGCAUUUUUAUCUGGACAUUGUUGGAAUACAGUUUACACCGCUUCCUUUUCCACAUCAAAACAAAGAGUUAUUGGUGGAACACCAUACACUAUCUUCUUCAUGGCUGCCAUCAUAAGCACCCUAUGGAUGGUUUGCGGCUUGUUUUUCCUCCAGCUGCUACAGCUGUUCUGUGUGUGCCAUUCUGGAACUUGGUUCAACUUAUAUCCACUCCCUCAAUUGCUCCUGCUCUGUUUGGAGGUGGUUUAUUGGGUUAUGUUAUGUAUGACUGUACUCAUUACUACUUGCAUCAUGGUCAGCCUUCAAGUGGAGUACCAAAAGAUCUGAAGAAAUACCACUUGAAUCAUCACUUCAGGAUCCAGAAUAUGGGAUUUGGAAUUACUUCGUCGCUAUGGGACAAGGUGCAAGGGGUUUGGAACACUUCCUCCAGUGAAAGUGGUUGAAAAGAGUAGAUAAUUUAAUUUGGAGGUGCAGCAUUACUAGUGAGGGUCAGGGUGGGUGGAUUUGAAGCAUCAUCAUUACUUGAUUCCCAAACAUUAUUUCUUCUUCAAUCAAUUGAUUUAUAGUAAUGUUAAUCAAAAUGGAGACCAGGGUUUUACCAUGUUUGUGGAUAUUAUGAAUUUGGUGGUGUCAUUUUCCUAUGAGAAAUCCUGUGUAAAUUAGUUUGCCAGUUAUUGGUGAAGAGAAAAAGUUCCAUUCGUCAAUAUUUGCCUUGUGCUUUCAUUCUAUUUCUUUCCAUGGUUACCAGCAGGAUGUCCCU